rnacentral:rRNA from 1 species
UACAGAGGGUGCGACCGUUAUUCGGAAUCACUGGGCUUAAAGCGCGUGUAGGCGGGACGGCACGUCGGUCGCUGAAAGCCCCCGGCUCAACCGGGGAACGGGCGCCGAUACGACCGUCCUGGAGGGACGUAGGGGGACCUGGAACUUCCGGUGGAGCGGUGAAAUGCGUUGAGAUCGGAAGGAACGCCCGUGGCGAAAGCGAGGUCCUGGACGUUUUCUGACGCUGAGACGCGAAAGCCAGGGGAGCGAACGGG